GACGAACGCUGGCGGCGUGCCUAAUACAUGCAAGUCGAACGCAGUUGCGAACGGGUGAGUAACGCGUAGGUAACUGCCCCAUAGCGGGGGAUAACAGUUGGAAACGAUUGCUAAUACCGCAUACUAUGAGAUGAAUCUGCGUGGGGUUUGCUAGUUGGUGGGGUAAUGGCCCACCAAGGCGACACUACGUAGCCGACCUGAGAGGGUGCACGGCCACACUGGGACUGGGACACGGCCCAGACUCCUACGGGAGGCAGCAGUAGGGAAGCUGCGGCAAUGGACGGAAGUCUGACCGAGCAACGCCGCGUGAGUGAUGACGGUUUUCGGAUUGUAAAGCUCUGUUGUUAGAGACGCGGUACCAAAACAGAAAGGUACGGCUAACUACGUGCCAGCAGCCGCGGUAAUAC
rnacentral:rRNA from 1 species